GCCGGGGUGGCGAAACUGGUAGACGCAAGGGACUUAAAAUCCCUCGGUAGUAAUACCAUGCCGGUUCGAGUCCGGCCCCCGGCACCA
rnacentral:tRNA from 2 species